rnacentral:sRNA from 1 species
UCGAUUCUGCAACCGCGCAGAUAAGGUUGACAAGCCUGCUUUGGGCAGCACCUUUGAUGGCGAGUCUAAGUAAUUUU